UGAAUAACUGUGACAAGGACUAGUAAUAAAGAUGUCAAGUAAGAAGAGAGGUAGCGGCUGGUGAAAGCUAUCCUUGGCCUUUAUGAACUCACCUUUGAUGUUGCGCACCUGAACGUAAGAGUAAGGUUCGCCGUUCUCCGCGUUAAGGAUUCGAGUGAGCGUCAAUUGGCGUUAAUUUGGGUGGUACCACGGGUAUUCAAAACCUCUCGUCCCAGAG
rnacentral:ncRNA from 1 species